GAAUCAGAUCAUUGUGACACCCUGACACCAUGUACCAUUCAGCCAUGGAUUUGACACAGCUUCUUUUACUGGCUGUCUGUCUAACAGGUGUGGGGGGUCAGACCCUGACUGAAUCUGAGCCUGUGGUCAUUAAUCCUGGAGGAUCUCACAGACUGACCUGCACAGCCUCUGGGUUAACAAUCAGCGGCUACUAUCUGGCUUGGAUCAGACAGGCUCCUGGAAAAGGGCUGGAAUGGAUCGCUAGCAUAUACAGCUCUAAUAUCUACCACUCUCAGGCUAUUCAGGGACGGUUCACAAUCUCUAGAGAUGAUGGCAAGAGCCAGGUGUAUCUGCAGAUGAACAGCCUGAAGACUGAGGACACUGCUGUGUAUUACUGUGCCCGACACCCACAGUGACAGAAGAGUCUGGAG